GACCCCUCUCGCCUCGUCCUCCCCGCACGUCUCUCGCCCCCUCCUCGAUCUCGCUCGCCCCAUCCUCCUCCUCCCGUGCCGUUCGCCUCCCCGUCGUUCUCGCAGCCUUGCGCCGCCGUUAGUCGCAGGAGCCACCCCGCCGCGCCCGGAGCCGCCUCCCAUAGCCGCCUCCCGCAGCCGCCACCGGUCGCCGCAGCCGUCGCCCCGGGAGCCUCCCUGCCGGCCUUUUGCCGCCUGCCGCGGCCGCGCCCUUCGUCGCCGGUGGCCGCGCACAUUCUGCUGACUCCAAGACGAGGAGCCGGUGCAUCAACGUCAAUGCGGGAUCUGUCCGCCCUCCUCGCUCGCCGUUGACGCCGCCAUAGGCGGAGGUGACGCUGCUCCACGGGAUCCGGCAAGGUCGUUUUCCAUCACGACAGCCCAUCACGGGUGCAGGUGACUGGGGCGUGGUAGUCGUCCCCAUCGUCUCUACUGUCCCCAUGCCAAGCGGUGGUCCUUCCCGGUGGCCCUUGCUCCUUCGCCAGCGCGCCUCCGCGCCGGGCCGCCGCCUCUGCUCCUCCGCCAGAGCCCUACCGCGCCCGGUCGCAGCCUCGCGCGCCUCCGUGCUGGCCCUCCACGCCUCUCCGCGCACGCCGCAGACGGCCCUCCUCACCUCCCACGACACGCCCGAGGAGCUCAACUGACGACGACACCCAUCUCCUUUCAGGUAAAUCAUGUUCCGAUCUUUAUAUUCUGUUAUUAUAUGCUUGUACUGAUUUCUUAACUUCCCCGUGGUUUUACCUUAAUCCACUUGCAUCUUGAGGGUCCUAAAAACAAACACU
rnacentral:rRNA from 1 species